AUGGGAGAAGCUGAAGGGUAAGAACAGUAAGAAGAGCAAAAAAAGCAAGAGGAGAGCCAGGCUGGAGGAGCAGACUGCAGCCUCUUCCCAGUCAAAAAGAGGAAAGAAGGAACCUCUGCUCACCUGGAAAAGGUGGCCCAGCAGAAAGAUGUCCAAGAGGGAGCUGCAGACCCCACAGGCUUCCAGGUGCUCCGUUUCCACCCUGCACAGAAGCCCUGAGAUUGGCAGCCAUUCCCUGCCCUUGAUGACUGCAGAGUCACCAAACAAGGAGCUGCAGGUGCCACUGGAAUCCACGGACGUAGCUCCCACCGUGGCCGUUGUACCUGCACCUGAGACCCGUGCCCCGAGCCGCAUAAUGAGCAUCAGCAUUUCCACGGACACCUCCCUGCUGGAACUGCUGGUGGAAACCACGGACGAGCAGGUCCCCGGGCAGAGGGAGAUGACUCCACAGAGCCCUGCAGAUAUUCAGAGGGCCCGCAACAGCCCUAUACCCAUAUCCAGACAGACCUGGAAUAAGCUCCUGGCAAGCUACAAUGAGAUGCAGGCGGGACACGAAUGGCCCAGGCCGAUGCACAAUGGGCAAGGGACACUGGGGGCCCCUAGUGGGAUCCUCCCUGGAGAGCCCUCCUUCCCCCCCAGCAGGAUGGAGGAGCAGGAGCACCAGGAGGUGCUGGAGGAGCAGGAGCACCAGGAGGUGCAGGAGGACAGGCUGCAGCCCCAGGGCCCCAGCCCCAAAAAGUCCAGGAGCAGGCGCCUGCGGGAGGGCUGUGCCCGGCUGUGGCGCUGCCUGAAGGCCUGGGGGAGGCGUUACUGCUGCUGCCUGCCCCCAGCUGUGGAGCAGUGAUCCACGUGCCGUGGAGACCUCCCACACCCCCAGCCGGGCUGAGAUGCUGCCACUGGUGAUGCUUGGGGUGCAGCUCAGCCUGAUCGCGGCCAGCUUUGGGAUCCAGGGGCUCCAGAAGUCAUGGAAGAGGCUGACGAGCAAUAAGAGCAAGAGGAGAGCCAGGCUGGAGGAGCAGACUGCAGCUUCUCCCCUCGAGGAUGGAGGAGUGAAGGAACCCCGAGAAGCCUGGAGACGGGAUGAGUGCUGGGGGAGACCCCUGAUCCUGCCCCACACCCUCACCCUGUGCCCUGAACCCUCCCGUUCUGGGCAGCCCUGCCUGCCCCAUGGGGAGGGGGUGCUGCCCGAGAGCCCCAACAGAGGGGCCCGGGUGCACUGGGGUCAGUUUUUUCUCCUUCUCUGCAGGGCCACCCUGGAGGUACCAAGCAGACAGCUGCGGACCACCAUGGACUCCCCAGACUCCAUAUCCUCCUUGCCAGGCUCCCUCCAGGGAAGAGCUCCCUCUGCUCCUGAACAGAGCCCUGGCCUGGAGUGCUGGCAGAGCUGGCAGCACUCCCCUGCUCAGAACCCUGCUGGUCUCCUGAGGCUGUGAAGGGAGGGGCUGGUGGGGGAGUCAGGGACAGCCCUUGGCCAGGACUCCACGCUGGAAGUGCCGGCAGGGAUCAAGCAGAAGCAGGUCCCCAGGCAUGGAGGGGACAGGGCACAGAGCCCUCUGGAUGUGCAGGUGUCCCCCAGCAGCCCUCCAGCCAUGGCCUCAAGCACCUGGAAGCAUGUCCUGGCAUCCUACCAUGCCAUCCAGGCUGGACACACACGAUCCACGCCGAUCCACAAGCAGCUGGAUGGAGACAUGGCCAAGGGGCAAGGGACACUGGGGGCCCCUAGUGGGAUCCUCCCUGGAGAGCCCUCCUUCCCCCCCAGCAGGAUGGAGGAGCAGGAGCACCAGGAGGUGCUGGAGGAGCAGGAGCACCAGGAGGUGCUGGAGGAGCAGGAGCACCAGGAGGUGCAGGAGGACAGGCUGCAGCCCCAGGGCCCCAGCCCCAAAAAGUCCAGGAGCAGGCGCCUGCGGGAGGGCUGUGCCCGGCUGUGGUGCUGCCUGAAGGCCUGGGGGAGGCGUUACUGCUGCUGCCUGCCCCCAGCUGUGGAGCAGUGAUCCACGUGCCGUAUGGCUUCAACCACAUAAAAGCACGUCUUGAAGCCCUGCCACACUGUCUAGGCUGCCCAGGCAGCUACCGAGUGGCUGUUCAGUGCAGGACUGGGAACGCAUCUCAAAUGUUUAAAAAUUAAAUACUUUCUUUGUCAGA